AGCUUCUUUUUUUUUUAUUAACAUUCCGAAAACAGGUUUUAAUUCCCUGACAAACUGCAGGGCCUGCAUCACUGCUCUACACAGAGAAAUCAGAAGAGUUCAGACUGGAAUACACAUCCUUCCUGACGUUCAAAGACAAUAUUUGGAGAGACACCGCACUAUACCAUCAUUACUUAACAAGUGGCAGGUACAGAAAAAAAAAGGAGAGGAGAGGAAAGGAAAAAAGCUAAGAAAAAGAAAAAACAACCACGAUAGAUUUCAGUCAAGCCUGAAGGGAAGGGUGGAUUACAAUCGAGGUCAAACCCAAAGGGAGCGUAUGACUGCAAGCUCUACAGAGUUAUUAGACUGCUUGACUUAAAGAGAAAGGGUAGCGGGUGAACUGUGACAGAUAAACAGAAAUACAGUAUCA